GCCGUGGCUCAGUGGUAGAGUAUCUGCUUUGCAUGCAGAAGAUCCCAAGUUCAAUCCUUGAUAUCUCCA